rnacentral:rRNA from 1 species
ACUACGGGUGGCAGCAGUGGGGAAUAUUGCACAAUGGGGGAAACCCUGAUGCAGCGACGCCGCGUGAGUGAAGAAGUAAUUCGUUAUGUAAAGCUCUAUCAGCAGGGAAGAAAAUGACGGUACCUGAGUAAGAAGCCCCGGCUAACUACGUGCCAGCAGCCGCGGUACUACGUAGGGGGCAAGCGUUAUCCGGAUUUACUGGUUGUAAAGGGAGCGUAGACGGCAGUGCAAGUCUGUGUGUAAAGGCGGGGGCUCAACCCCCGGCCUGUUCUGGAAACUGUAAGGUUGGAGUGCAGGAGAGGUAAGUGGAAUUCCUAGUGUAGCGGUGAAAUGCGUAGAUAUUAGGAGGAACACCAGUGGCGAAGGCGGCUUACUGGACUGUAACUGACGUUGAGGCUCGAAAGCGUGGGGAGCAAACAGGAUUAGAUACCCUAGUAGUC